AUCCUCUUCUUCUCCUAAUUCUCAACAUUGAUUAAAGAACUCCAAUCCUUGCUUACCUACAAGAAUCACAACCAGCCAUGGUGGGAAGAUGAUCAAAUGGAAGAUGAAGUAUCAGAUAUUCUGCUCAAUUCAAUUCUGUAUCACCACCUGUGGGAAGAAACUAUCUGGUUUGAUUCAACUUUUUUUCUUUAUUUUUCUUUAUAUAUGUUAACGGAUUUCGUACUCAUUAUAUAGAGCUUAUUUGUUUAGGGUACUGAAUGGGCUCUUUUGGCUCUACUUUGAUAUAUGUUUGACUGUUGCUGCUAGAAUUGGAUUCUGAUGUUAAAACUCUUUCUAUCUUCGUUAUUGUUGCUUGUUCAUCUUAAUAGUCUUCUGCUUCGCAUAGCUAAGAAAAAACACCACAGUAAGUGAGGCAAAAAGAGGAUCAUUACAAUCUUGAUUUGUCUUCCCCUGCAAAGGGAAUGGCUUUUUAAUCCAUUUUUGAGUUGCAAGUACAUUGAAAUGCCAGACUACUUCAAUGAACUAAUUCCCAUUUUUUUGGUGUAUUUAAUUUGUCAAAAGUGGUGACUAUCUGCAUAUUUUAACUUGAAGAUUAUUCCUCCAUUUUGAGUUCACAUAGAUGUUCUAUUAGAUAUAGUAUUAAACUGUUCAAAGUAUGAAUCAUCUUCAAGGGUCUUACUAGUUACUUUCCUCAUCUCAUCCUUGUUAUCUGGAUGUCCUGCAGCAUUUGCUGUCUCUUUGUUCAAUUCUGUGAUUUCUUUCUUUCUUUCUUCUUUGGCUAAUUUUUCUGCAAGUAACUUGAGAACAUGGAAACUUGUCAAAGGCCAAAAGAUUGAGUUUUCAACUUCAGGACUUGACCGAAGUUGGAACUUCUUUCAUCUCUCAAUUUGCUCCAAUUUGCCUCGAAAUUCUUAACUUGAUGUAUUAUUCUCUUCUUCAAAUCCUGAUCUCCAAAUACAAGAACUUCUACCUAAUCUGUUAUUUCCAGUUAUAAGUGGUCAGGCAAUGCAUAUUUUAAAUUAUUUGAAAUAAUUCAUUCUUUUUCUUGCUUUCAAAGGGUCCGAUUAAGAAAGAUAUAGAGUACAUAUAGAAUUGCA
rnacentral:misc_RNA from 1 species